rnacentral:rRNA from 1 species
GACAGAGGGUGCAAACGUUGUUCGGAAUUACUGGGCGUAAAGCGUGCGCAGGCGGUAAUGUAAGACAGAUGUGAAAGCCCCGGGCUUAACCUGGGACCUGCAUUUGUGACUGCAUUGCUAGAGUACGGUAGAGGGGGAUGGAAUUCCGCGUGUAGCAGUGAAAUGCGUAGAUAUGCGGAGGAACACCGAUGGCGAAGGCAAUCCCCUGGACCUGUACUGACGCUCAUGCACGAAAGCGUGGGGAGCAAACAGG